rnacentral:lncRNA from 1 species
UAGGUUUUCCCUCUCUGAUUCUGGCUGUUGUUGUCCAAGAAUGUAAAUUUCCCAGACUCUGCUCUCUUGUCUGCAAAAGUAGAUUCUAUAGAUGGACAGUUGUGGAAGCCCACUACCCAAGGAAGCAACAUGAAGAUCUGAGGACCCUUGAGUCGCCCCAGGGUUCAAGACACACAAAAGUUUAAAGAAACAAGAUACCCUGAAUGAUAUUUCAAUUUACUAUGUUACUCUGAGUGUUUUGCUUGAAUAAAUCUGAAAUUCUGACAGUUUCA